rnacentral:rRNA from 1 species
AACGAACGCUGGCGGCAUGCCUAACACAUGCAAGUCGAACGAGACCUUCGGGUCUAGUGGCGCACGGGUGCGUAACGCGUGGGAACCUGCCCUUAGGUUCGGAAUAACUCCCCGAAAGGGGUGCUAAUACCGGAUAAUGUCUUCGGACCAAAGAUUUAUCGCCUUUGGAUGGGCCCGCGUUGGAUUAGCUAGUUGGUAGGGUAAAAGCCUACCAAGGCGACGAUCCAUAGCUGGUCUGAGAGGAUGAUCAGCCACACUGGGACUGAGACACGGCCCAGACUCCUACGGGAGGCAGCAGUGGGGAAUAUUGGACAAUGGGCGAAAGCCUAAUCCAGCAAUGCCGCGUGAGUGAUGAAGGCCUUAGGGUUGUAAAGCUCUUUUACCCGGGAUGAUAAUGACAGUACCGGGAGAAUAAGCUCCGGCUAACUCCGU